AGCUCCUCAGAAAGGUAAAAGAAAGCUCCAUGGGAAUGAAGAUGUGAAAUCAAAGAAGAGGAAGAUGAAAAAUAACAGACAGUCUGUGUUUUCAUAUGAGACAGAAGAACUUCUCUCAACCCGUGAAGAUGCAUUCCAGGAUGGAAAAGAUGCCAUAUCUGAGGUUUAUGACAAACUCAAAGGGGUUUCCUGCAGAGAAAACUCAUUUCUGGAAAACUUAAAAAAGAAGAUCUCAAGUCUAAAACAUUAUAACCACAAAGAGAAAAUUUACAUUGGAUUCUUUGGGAAGACGGGAGCAGGAAAGAGCUCAUUGAUCAACGCAAUUGUCGAAGAAAAACUUCUACCAUCAGGAAGCUUGCAUGCCUGCACUUCUGUUUUUGUGCAUGUACAAGCUAAUACUGAACCCAGCGAAUACAAAGCUGAAAUUGAAUUCAUCAGUGCAGAGGACUGGGAAUCAGAACUACGUUUUCUGCUAGACUCACUCAAAAAUGAAAAUGACCAACAAAACAAAAUGGCAGCAAAAGAUGAUGAAAUUGCAGAAAUGGCAAGAGAAAAGAUAACAGCCAUUUAUGGAGAAGAGGGCCUGGAGAAA